rnacentral:rRNA from 1 species
GACGAACGUUGGCGGCGUGCUUAAUACAUGCAAGUCCACUGAAGCAGUGGUAGCAAUAUCGCUGUGGAGGUGGCGCACGGGUGAGUAACACGUAGGUAAUCUGCCUUCAGGUCUGGCAUAACUCCGGGAAACCGGGGCUAAUAGCAGAUGAUGCAGCGGCUCGACAUCGAGACAGUUGUUAAAGCUAUGGCGCCUGAAGAUGAGCCUGCGUCUGAUUAGCUAGUUGGCGGGGUAACGGCCCACCAAGGCAACGAUCAGUAGCUGGUCUGAGAGGAUGAUCAGACACACUGGAACUGAGACACGGUCCAGACUCCUACGGGAGGCAGCAGUAAGGAAUAUUGCUCAAUGGGAGAAAUCCUGAAGCAGCAACGCCGCGUGAGGGACGAAGGGCUUUUGCUUGUAAACCUCUGUAGUGAGAGAAAAAAAUCCCAAUCUUUGGGACAUGAUGGUAUCUCAAAAGUAAGCCCCGGCUAACUACGUG